UUUUUAACAAUAUUUAUUCAUUAUUAUUAUAACUCGCAAUAUUAACAACCAGAUCGUUCACAGGAAAGAGGGGGCUUUCCGAUAAGGAUUUCUCCCUAUUGACGUGCAAUUACGUGACCAAACCCCUUUCCUCGAUAAAACUUUCUAGACAUUGUUAAUUAUGCACAUAAUAAUAUGAAUAACUUGUCAUCUCAAUUAUUGAUUUAAUAAUAUAAAAUAUUGUGACAAUAAUUGAAUCUAUAACGUGAGAUACUAUUCAACAAUUACUGUAUCAAUAAUAAAAUAAAACUGAGUGACUUCUCACGUAAGCAUCAAUAAUCAAUGCCGUGUGCUACUAUGCAACCACGCGUAUUACUGUACUUUUACCACUGGGUAUUCCAACAGUUUAACGAUAAAACUUUCGCCGUUAUUUUCAUAAAAAGAUAUUUCUGUCGUUUUCUCAUUCCUAAAUUAAUUUCGUUGUGGGGUCCACCAAUGAUUGCGUCGUUAUACAAAUAUUCUCUGAUAAAACGAAUAUUUCCCGAUCAAUCGAAUAUUUUAUAAUAACUUGCAUACUUUUCAAAAUCAAUAAUUAUUACCCACAACUUUAAUAUUAUAUCAAAUCCACACCUUAAUAAUAAUAAAAAAUAUUUCGAGAAAAUUAAAUUUUAUUCAUAAAAUUUGGGGUCUUACAACCUCCCCUUCUUAUGAAAUUUCGUCCUCAAAAUUAACGUACGUACCUGGUAUGUAAAAGAGAUGAGAAUACCUUGAUUUCAUUUCAGAUUCUAACUCUUGAGGUAUAACCUUUGAGCGUAAAAUAUGUUCCGUAUUAUCCAAAAUUUUAACAGGUAUCUCCUCAUACGUUAAAUCUUCUGCUAUCUCAUCUAGUUCUAAUUCAAUAAUGUGGUUCGGGUCGUCCACAUAUUUACGUAACAUCGAUACGUGAAAAAUGUUAUGAACAGAUGACAUACUUGGUGGUAAAGCGAGUCUAUAGGCCACAGUUCCUACUUGAUCGAUGAUUCCAAAUAGACCAAUAAAAGCAAGGGUUGAAAUUUCCUCUCUUCGUUGAUUCUUGCUUCUAGAAUAACGCCCUCUUGAACUUUCUUCUUCACAUUCAUCAGCUUUGAGUCUGUAGCUUGAGCGGCUUUAACUUUAUCGAUUAAAGUUGGUUCUAAUCGUAUAUUCAUCAUCUUCACGUGGGUCUCUAGAGUCUUUAAAACUAUCCCUAUUUUUUGUAAGUCGUACAAAAUGGGUCUUUGUGUUAACAAUAUCGCUCUCGUAAAUGCAUACGAUCUUCUACUCAACGCGUCAGCUACUACGUUCGCGUUUCCAAGAUGGUAUUGAAUGUGAUAUUAUGUUUUAGAUAUUUAUUUAAUUAUUUAUUUCCUAUUUUACUUGAAUUAAUUUAUCAUUGACCUUGAUAAAUUAUAUGUCAAGUGUUAAAUAAAUUAAUUCAUAUAUUAUUCAAGGCAAGGAUACCUUAUUUCUUUUUUCUAAAAAACAAAGUUGGGCAAAUUAUUUUCAUAUAUAUAUAUAUAUAUAUAUAUAUAUAUAUUUAAUGCAUGCUGCCGUGUGUUUGCAUAUGUUGCCAUUUUCUUGAAGUGUAAACCGUGUGUUGCCAAGUGACUAUCAUUUUGGGACCUUAAUUAAAGCACAUGUUGGCUGGUAUUAGUCAAACAAAUAAUAAAUGCUCAGACGGUAGAAAAACGCCUAGGCAUUUUUAUAACUCUUACCGCAUAAAAAUAUUGCUUUGAUCUGGACCAAUCAUUCAAAAAUAAUUGAUCAUAUUCGUACAUUCAAAAAUUUCAGUUUUGAAAAUUACUAUUUUGCCCUAACUUCAAAAAUUCUAUAAAUAAGGAGUAUUUCAUUUAUUUGGUUUUUACCAAUUCAGUGAAAAGAAAAUCAUACUCUCCUUGCCUACAUUCUCUCAAAAUUUUACAUCUUUUCGUACAAAAGUUCUG
rnacentral:lncRNA from 1 species